rnacentral:rRNA from 1 species
GACGAAGGUGGCAAGCGUUGCUCGGAAUCACUGGGCAUAAAGCGCGCGUAGGUGGCCUGGUAAGUCAGUGGUGAAAUCCCAUCGCUCACCGAUGGAACUGCCGCUGAUACUGUCGGGCUUGAGGACGGUAGGGGAGAGUGGAACUCCUGGUGUAGCGGUGAAAUGCGUAGAUAUCAGGAGGAACGCCGGUGGCGAAAGCGACUCUCUGGGCUGUUCCUGACACUGAUGCGCGAGAGCUAGGGGAGCAAACAGG